rnacentral:rRNA from 1 species
GUGGGGAAUCUUGCGCAAUGGGCGAAAGCCUGACGCAGCCAUGCCGCGUGGAUGAUGAAGGUCUUAGGAUUGUAAAAUCCUUUCACCGGUGAAGAUAAUGACUGUAGCCGGAGAAGAAGCCCCGGCUAACUUCGUGCCAGCAGCCGCGGUAAUACGAAGGGGGCUAGCGUUGCUCGGAAUUACUGGGCGUAAAGGGAGCGUAGGCGGAUAGUUUAGUCAGAGGUGAAAGCCCAGGGCUCAACCUUGGAAUUGCCUUUGAUACUGGCUAUCUUGAGUAUGGAAGAGGUAUGUGGAACUCCGAGUGUAGAGGUGAAAUUCGUAGAUAUUCGGAAGAACACCAGUGGCGAAGGCGACAUACUGGUCCAUUACUGACGCUGAGGCUCGAAAGCGUGGGGAGCAAACAGGAUUAGAAACCCGAGUAGUCC